rnacentral:rRNA from 1 species
AGGAUCAUUACCGAUGCCAUACAA